GUAGUUCUUUGGGGGCCACCAUGUAAGGGUGGCAGGGUGGGUGCUCCACCUGGGCUCUCAAAACCUUCUUCAUCUUGCUGUCCGAGAAACGUUAUGGCCGGCGGCGGGGGAAGGUAGCUGCUGGGAGCACCGCAGAGAUGGAAACCAAGGUCGUAACGCGUGCCGUUUGGCGAAAGUCUUGCGUCGGGUUGUUGGGUUGGAAAGCAGCUUCAAGACCCGGGAUGGGUUUGUUUUCGCAGCGGCGUGUAACGCGCUUCAAAGGCUCUGAAGGUUUUUUUUCUUUUGGAUUAGGACACGCAACAUGACACAUCCACCACUGCUCCCAACACCAAUUUGAAGCACGUGACUCCACCGCCCAAAUAAUCCUGGGAACUGUUGAGUUUGGCAGUUCUGUGAGGACUAAACUGCAGUCCCCAUGAUUUCUUUGGGGAAGUCAUGUGCUUUAAAUGCACUUUAAAGGUGUGCCGUGGGUGUGACCACAUAGUGAAGCGAUGCGCGCCUUAGGCUGUGUACACAUUGGUGUUUACUCUUGAAUCUGUAGAGUUGGAAGAGACCACAAGGAUCAUCUAGUCCAACCCCUGCAUAGCUGGAACCUUUCUCCUAACAUGGGGUUCAAACCCGUGACUCUGAGAUUAAGAGUCUCAUGCUCUACCGACUGAGCUAUCCCUCUGGAUCCCACUGGUUUUUGAGUUCAUGUUUGCACAUUACCGAUGGUGCAGAGCUAUCCUGUAGUUUAGUGAGAAAUACUGCUGUUGCGUUUUCCCUCAAACCAGCUUCCAUCUGAAAGGAAAUAAUAAGCUGCGUUCACUUUGCAGUAAACUGAGGUGUGUAUAUUUGAAAAUGCCAUUGUGCAUGCAAAGACGACAGCGUAUGUGCAGAUGACGGUUUCAUGUGUAGAAGUUGGGGUUGGGAAUUCAGGGGCAAGGAAACCAAAGCGGUAAAGCACAUCAGUUGAGGACAUCCACACACCCCUCUGGUGUGUACCUCAGCAUGCAAAUGUGACUUGAAACACAGAGGGAAAAUUACCUUGAUGCAUUUUAACCCAAUAAUGUGUUCAGAAAUUGCUUUGCAUAGGAUUUUUUUCCAGCCUGGAGGCUUAAUACACUUCCGUUUUCUCCCACCUCUAUAAGGAAAGUUUGUCCUGUUCUUGCUACAUGUUAGUAAUAAAGGAUAAUGGUGAUUGGAAGAACAUAAUGAGGAGGGGAAGAUUCAAAGGGCUAUUAAAAACGGCAUGUAUGAAAGGGGAUGGAGGAGUGUGAAUUAGGUGGCUGUAUGAAUGUAUAAAAGAUGAACUGAGAGGUCAGGUGGGAGAGGUCUGCUUUCUGAUAAAUCCACUGAGCUACAGAGCCCUCCCUCAACAGUUAUGCAUGUAAUUUUUUCAGCAUUGGGGCCCAAAGCAUCCUCUUAAGCCCACACAAGGGGAAGUGAAAGAAAAGCAGAAACCGACACAGCUCCGAAGCUGGUUUGUGCAGGUCAAAUGAAAGAACAGAAAAUCCGUUGUGCCAAUUGUCCACUUUAAAUUAGGCCUGUAUUGGGUGGUGUUCAGAAAUAGCAGACUGAAAUGAACAUCCCCUGCAAAUAUAUGGCUACGUACCAGUGUUCAGAGCCUGCUGGGCAAAAGCUCAACCUGGCAGAACAUGGUUAUUCUAGCAUGCAUAUAAAACCCAUUGCUGCUAGUGUUUAUACUCAUUCCAUUCUCUUUAACAGCUAACAGUGGCUUUUUACUGAAAACACAUACUGAGUUGUCGAAGAAAUCAUGUCAAAUGAAUUCUGGUAUGCAGCAAGAAAAUAAACACAUAACCUCAUUGGGGUUAUGAAGUGCAGAGGAGCUCUAGUCUCUCUGUGCAACAGUAGGGUUAAGAAUAUUUCAUAGAGUCCAAGUAUUUAAUGUCCCAAGUUUCCACAGCUUCAUUUGUACCAGAACUAAUCUUCAUAUGGUUUGUGUUAAGAGCACAUUUUUCUUUGUACCUUUACAUCCAUUCCACUUGAACCACCCACAUAAUAUAGUGGGACUAUGGCUGUGUGCACAUUACCAUUUACUCCGACUCCAGUGCACUCCCACAGCUGGUGUUUUAAAAAAACAAGUACACAAUCCAAACGUAUAUUGUAGCAUCUUGCAAAAUACUGUUUUCCCUCAAAGCGCUUCUCAUCCAGUUUGAAAACAAGCUGUGGUUAAGUUGAGGUGUGUUAACUUUAGAUUGCUGUUGCACAUGCACAGAUGACAGUGCAUGCGCAGAUGAACAGGCGUUUCGGAGGGUUGCAGACAGGGGAAAACAAACUGGGUAAUGUGCGAGGAAACAAAUAAGGUAGUUAUGUGUACGUAAGACACCACUUGAAACACAGCAGGGAGGAAUGGCCUUGUUACAUUUUAAACUGCUAAAGUGUAUGUGCCCUAUAUACAUGUUGCUAGGUGUCAGCAGUAAACACAAUACCUUUUAUUCGUUUGUGUUAAAGGCUUUUUGAAAUUACAGCAUCAUAAUUAAAUACAGUCCAUCUAUGGGGAGUACAUAUCCCAACCAUCACACACAUAAGCAACUUGCAUGCUCCUCUAGACAUUAUGCUUAAGUUAUCACCAGCUAU
rnacentral:lncRNA from 1 species